CCCGACUCCGUGAAGCUGGAUUCGCUAGUAAUCGCGCAUCAGCCAUGGCGCGGUGAAUACGUUCCCGGGCCUUGUACACACCGCCCGUCAAGCCAUGGGAGCCGGGGGUACCUGAAGUCCGUAACCGCGAGGAUCGGCCUAGGGUAAAACUGGUGACUGGGGCUAAGUCGUAACAAGGUAGCCGUACCGGAAGGUGCGGCUGGAACACCUCCUUUCUGGAGCUU
rnacentral:rRNA from 1 species